rnacentral:rRNA from 1 species
AGUGGUGGUCAGUAUUAUUGGGCCUAAAGCGUCCGUAGCUGGCCUGGUAGAUGCCUGGGUAAAUCGAAUCGCUCAACGGUUCGAAUUCCGGGUAGACCGCCAGGCUCGAGACCGGGAGAGAUGUGGGCUACUCGAGGGGUAGGGGUAAAAUCCUGUAAUCCUUCGGGGAGGACCAGUGGCGAAGGCGCCACAUUUGAACGGCUCUGACAGUGAGGGACGAAGCCCUGGGGCGCAAACCGG